UUAGUACUCCCUCCAUCCCAAAAUUCUUGUCUUAGAUUUGUCUAGAUACGGAUGUAUCUAACACUAAAAUGUAACUAGAUACAUCCAUAUUUAGACAAAUCUAAGACAAGAAUAUUGGGACGGAGGGAGUAUUAG
rnacentral:pre_miRNA from 1 species